rnacentral:rRNA from 1 species
UACAGGGGGUGCAAACGUUGCUCGGAAUCAUUGGGCGUAAAGCGCACGUAGGCGGUUCGUUAUGUCGGAUGUGAAAGCCCUUGGCUUAACCGAGGAAGUGCAUCCGAAACUGGCGAGCUAGAGUACGAAAGAGGAUCGCGGAAUUCCCGGUGUAGAGGUGAAAUUCGUAGAUAUCGGGAGGAACACCGGUGGCGAAGGCGGCGAUCUGGGUCGAUACUGACGCUGAGGCGCGAAAGCUAGGGGAGCAAACAGG